UACGUAGGGGGGCUAGCGUUGUCCGGAUUUAUUGGGCGUAAAGCGCGUGUAGGCGGCCAGAUAGGUCUGCUGUGAAAACUCGAGCUCAACCUCGAGACGCCGGUGGAAACCAUCUAGCUAGAGUCCGGAAGAGGAGAGUGGAAUUCCUGGUGUAGCGGUGAAAUGCGCAGAUAUCAGGAAGAACACCCGUGGCGAAGGCGGCUCUCUGGGACGUGACUGACGCUGAGACGCGAAAGCGUGGGGAGCGAACAGG
rnacentral:rRNA from 1 species